ACAUGAUGACUACAAUUCGGG
rnacentral:miRNA from 1 species